rnacentral:rRNA from 1 species
UACGUAGGGGGCAAGCGUUGUCCGGAAUCAUUGGGCGUAAAGAGCGUGUAGGUGGCUCGGUAAGUCCGCUGUAAAAGUCCAGGGCUCAACCCUGGAAAGCCGGUGGAAACUGUCGAGCUAGAGUCCGGAAGGGGCGAGUGGAAUUCCUGGUGUAGCGGUGAAAUGCGCAGAUAUCAGGAGGAACACCAAUGGCGAAGGCAGCUCGCUGGGACGGUACUGACACUGAGACGCGAAAGCGUGGGGAGCAAACAGG